GGCGGCGCAGUAAGGGGAUCGUGAAAGCCCUCGGCUUAGCUGGGGAAGGGCGGUGCCGACUGCUGGGCUGGAGUGUCGGAGGGGAUGGCGGAAUUCCUGGUGGAGCGGUGAUAUGCGUAGAGAUCAGGAAGAACGUCGGUGGCGAAGGCGGCCAUCUGGCCGAACACUGACGCUGAGGCGCGAGAGCGUGGGGAGCAAAAAGGAUUAGAUACCCUUGUAGUCCACGCCGUAAACGAUGGGUACUAGGUGUGGGUCUCCUGACGAGGUCCGUGCCGGCGC
rnacentral:rRNA from 1 species